AGCCUCCACGACUUUUUACUUGAGUACAGAAGAGGAGAGUGGAAUUCCAUGUGUAGCGGUGAAAUGGCGCAGAGAUAUGGAGGAACACCAGUGGCGAAAGGCGGCUCUCUGGUCUGUUACUGACGCUGAAGGUGCGAAAGCGUGGGGAUCAAACAGGAUUAGAUACCCUGGUAGUCCACGCCGUAAACGGAUGAGUGCUAAGUGUUGGGGGGUUUCCGCCCCUCAGUGACUGCAGCUAACGCAUUAAGCACUCCGCCUGGGGAGUACGACCGCAAGGUUGAAACUCAAAGGAAUUGACGGGGACCCGCACAAGCGGUGGAGCGUCGACGCGGCCG
rnacentral:rRNA from 1 species